ACGUGUAGGCGGUUGGUUAAGUCGGAUGUGAAAGCCUGGGGCUCAGCCCCAGAAGUGCGAUCCGAAACUAUCCAGCUAGAGCGCGAUAGAGGAGGGUGGAAUUCCUGGUGUAGCGGUGAAAUGCGUAGAUAUCAGGAGGAACACCGGCGGCGAAGGCGGCCCUCUGGAUCGUUGCUGACGCUGAGACGCGAAAGCGUGGGGAGCAAACAGGAUUAGAUACCCUGGUAGUCCACGCCUUAAACGAUGGGUACUAGGUGUUCGGGGUGUUGACCCCCUGAGUGCCGCAGUUAACGCAUUAAGUACCCCGCCUGGGGACUACGGCCGCAAGGUUAA
rnacentral:rRNA from 1 species